AGUGAACGCUGGCGGUAGGCCUAACACAUGCAAGUCGAACGGCAGCACAGUAAGAGCUUGCUCUUACGGGUGGCGAGUGGCGGACGGGUGAGGAAUACAUCGGAAUCUACUUUUUCGUGGGGGAUAACGUAGGGAAACUUACGCUAAUACCGCAUACGACCUACGGGUGAAAGCAGGGGAUCUUCGGACCUUGCGCGAUUGAAUGAGCCGAUGUCGGAUUAGCUAGUUGGCGGGGUAAAGGCCCACCAAGGCGACGAUCCGUAGCUGGUCUGAGAGGAUGAUCCGCCACACUGGAACUGAGAAACGGUCCAGACUCCUAAGGGAGGCAGCAGUGGGGAAUAUUGGACAAUGGGCGCAAGCCUGAUCCAGCCAUACCGCGUGGGUGAAGAAGGCCUUCGGGUUGUAAAGCCCUUUUGUUGGGAAAGAAAAGCAGCAGGUUAAUACCCCGCUGUUCUGACGGUACCCAAAGAAUAAGCACCGGCUAACUUCGUG
rnacentral:rRNA from 1 species